UGCACAGAGCUGGCUCUUAUUGGUGUGA
rnacentral:piRNA from 1 species